CCAACAGGGAUUGCCUCAGUAACGGCGAGUGAAGCGGCAUCAGCUCAAAUUUGAAAUCUGGCCUCACGGCCCGAGUUGUAAUUUGUAGAGAAUGCUUCGGGCGAGGUCCGGUCUAAGUUCCUUGGAACAGGACGUCAUAGAGGGUGAGAAUCCCGUAUGCGACCGGGUGCCUCUGUCCAUGUGAAGCUUCUUCGACGAGUCGAGUUGUUUGGGAAUGCAGCUCAAAAUGGGUGGUAAAUUUCAUCUAAAGCUAAAUACUGGCCAGAGACCGAUAGCGCACAAGUAGAGUGAUCGAAAGAUGAAAAGCACUUUGGAAAGAGAGUUAAACAGUACGUGAAAUUGUUGAAAGGGAAGCGCUUGCGACCAGACUUGCGCGUAGCCGAUCAUCCGGUGUUCUCACCGGUGCACUCGGUUGCGCUCAGGCCAGCAUCGGUUUCGGUGGUUGGAUAAAGGCCCUGGGAAUGUAGCUCCUCUCGGGGAGUGUUAUAGCCCUCGGCGCAAUGCAGCCUACCGGGACCGAGGACCGCGCUUCGGCUAGGAUGCUGGCGUAAUGGUCGUAAGCGACCCGUCUUGAAACACGGACCAAGGAGUCUAACAUCUAUGCGAGUGUUUGGGUGUCAAACCCAUACGCGUAAUGAAAGUGAACGGAGGUGAGAACCCUUAAGGGUGCAUCAUCGACCGAUCCUGAUGUCUUCGGAUGGAUUUGAGUAAGAGCAUAGCUGUUGGGACCCGAAAGAUGGUGAACUAUGCCUGAAUAGGGUGAAGCCAGAGGAAACUCUGGUGGAGGCUCGCAGCGGUUCUGACGUGCAAAUCGAUCGUCAAAUUUGGGUAUAGGGGCGAAAGACUAAUCGAACCAUC
rnacentral:rRNA from 1 species